AGACACUAGGUGGAAGCCUUGGGUUGCAGUUCCACUGCACCUGCUGACGGCAGGAAGAAGAGGACUUGUGCUUUCAGAAAAGAGAGCUUUUUCUUUUCUUCUUGCCUUCACAUGCUAGAAAGGGAAGUCCAAGCUCUUCUGAUGCGCCGUGGGGUGAGCAGAGGAAUGGAGGAGAAGUGUCAGUCCCAUCCCGGGUCCUCCCUGCAACAGGAUCUUUGCAACGGCUUCAAGAGCUUCAUGCCUGUUCUGCAGACAGAUGCACAAUUGUGAAACAUCAAUAUGGACUGCAAAUCUCUACUGUCAGUCAGAUCCUCUUCCCCUCUGCAUAACGUAAUCCCUAUCUCCACAAUGCCUGCACAGAUACACAUUUGCAAAGAUGUUUUUCUGGAGAUAGCGUGCAUAGCAAACACUCCCUUACUUGUUCUCAUCUCUAGCAACAUUAUACAGAGUUUCAGUUCACAGUUCCCUGUGCUCCCCCUCCUACUACUGAAAUGCAGCCAACUCUGAGCUGCGGCUAUUAAACAUCACACAAGCAACACCACAAAACAGAUUGUGGAAAGCACAGGAAUUCACAGAAAAGCAACAAAUUGACAGAGGUCUGAGAAGUGAUAACAAAGGAUCAUAGGGAAUGAAUUACUCAUAAUGCAGAAUAGCCAUCACCUUGGUGUUCAGGUGAUACCAGGAUGCAAGAGCAAGUUUUUGAGGGCGGCACAAGGAGAUGUCACUAGGAGCAGUCAGGUUUCAGCAAGGGAGAUGAGCAGGUCAGCUUCCUUAGCCACUGAGUUUUGUCAUCUUUCAGAGUCCUAAGGAAAGAGCUGAAGGCAUCAUUGCUUGGGGGUUUUAGAACUGGUCAGUUUCAAGACAGGUCAAGGCACUUUCAGGGCAAAUGAAUAAAACAAGAUGGAGCAAGUACUGUAUCUAUUUCCACUUUGUAUGAGUCUGAGAAAACAGUUGGGAGAAAGAUGGAAAGGUCUGAAGGAAUCACAUGUACAAAGUUAUAAAACAGUGUGAAGGGGUGUGAUAAUACCUGUGACAUGGCCAGGGAAAAGCUUCCAAAGACAGUGCUCUUCUUUGUUAAGAAGGUCAUCUUCAUGAUGACCUUAAGGUGAGAAAGGAGGAAAAAGGGGAAGAUCUGCAAUGAAUCAGAGGAAAGAGAAAUGGGUGUGAAGGUAUGUAGCUGUUUGUGUGUGUGUGUAGCACAACAGGAAUCUCAUUCAGGUUGGAAAAAGCAUUGCAAGUGUCUGCAUCUCAGUUUGCUUACACUAGUGGCUUGAAGAGGGCACCUUGGCACAAAAGCUGCACAUGAAUUCUUGCCGCUUUAGGUAAAGUGAUGAGUGGGGAAUGUUGCCAGACACUGUCAGUGAGCAUUCAAUGGACAACUAAGAAGCAACUGCAAAAGUCUGUUCCCAACUCAAGUUGCAUAGCAACACUAAAUCGUCAGAUUGCCGUUAUGUCAGUCCCUUACAUUAUCCCCAUUAUUGCAGCCAGUUUUAGGAACCAUGCAGAAUGCUGUUACUAGCCCACUUCACAGCUGGAUGUGUGACCUUUGUCUCUUGCUGAAUGAUGCCAUGUAAUUUGCUGCAAAGGUGUCUCAAAGCAGUACACCAGAGAGAAAAAUCUUUGACAAUCCAUUAACACAGACCAUAAGGAGCAAAGGAUGUGCCUGUGCAGUGUGGGCCAAGGCAACCAGGGUCACUGGGUACCAAGGUGGCUGGAGUUUUAAGGAUGCAAAUAAAAUGAAUGAACUCCUUUACUGCAAACAUCAGAUUGACAUGGAUUUAGGACACCAGGUGGAAUGAAAAUUACCUUGCAGGCCUUUUGCACUGGAUGAUGGGGAGAGUGACCUGAUAAGCAAGUAAUUCGCAGUGAUAUAUCUCCUUUCUAAAGAGUGCCUGGUUGUAAACUAUGCCAGCUUUUUCAAGAUCACCACUGCAAGUUAUGAACCAGCAAACAGAACCUCAGAAGGACAAGAUAGACUGCCUGCUCCCUCUGUAUAGAGUAAUGGAAUUAUUCUGCUUCAUUAAAACAACUGAUGAGAAAACAAAGAGCCUCAAGAUUCAGUUCCUCUGUUUCUGUGCCCAGAAUGCAAAGCGCACGAAUGGCACAACACCUGGACUAGGACCUACAAGUCACUCUUGCUUGAUAUCGAGGAGACUGAGCUUGGACAAAGUCUAACACAGCAGAUGAUAAACAUCCAUGUAUGACAUUGCUAAAAGAGAUCUGAUAGCCAUGGAGUUACCCUUAACAAAGGAACAUCUCUUUAAUGCAAAAUACCUUAGUGGUUCUUACAAAAAAGGAACAAAAGAUGUUUGUCUGAUUUUCACCUUUCUUCCCUUUAGUACUCCCCUGAACUGCUGGAUGGGACACUCAGAAAAGCUUAUUUCCCUCUUCAGAGAGAGUCUCCUCUCUCUCUAUUUUUGAUGUAUCUUGCUUCCCUGUGAGGAUGAGGGAUUUGAGAUCAUUAGUGAGACAGCAGGUGUUGGAGUGGUCACUGGCACCCACCAGCUUUGUAGCUCAGUCAUCCUGAGGACUACACUAAGAAGGGAUUUAUCCAAGGGCUCUGCAGAGCAAAUAAGAUUUUGCAGCUGCUCAACAUGUGUUUGUGGACAGUCCUGGCAGUUCAGUGAAGGAGUCAGUACUGAGUUUUAGGCUGUGUCAGCCAGACUGAAGUGUUUGUGUAACCCUGCUGCCACGGGCUAUCUGGAAGUACAGAUAUGAGAGACUAUUCCAUGGAGCCAGUUCAUAUUUGAUAAUUAAUAUGGCUUUUCCUUUUUAACUUGGGUCUUCUAGUUUAUGGUGGAUAGGGCUAAGGGUCCCCAUUGAUGAGUGGAGGAUUCUUUUGUCAGACUUUACACUAUGGUCAGACCUCUGUAAGAUUCCUCUACACAUAUCUCUGUCAGUUUCAGUCUGUCUUACCAAGUACAAUCUUUGCAGUGCCUCAGCUUUAUUUGACAAUAUGAGUUUCCUAUGACCUUUGAGGAUAACAUUUGCAGGCUAAAAUGUGCUGAAUAAGGACAAAUGAGAAAUGCAAAAGAAAUGAAAAUAUUCAGAUUGUAAAGAAAAUCAUCUUCUGUCAGCAUUGUUUGCAUGUGUGCUCAUUUCUUAUAAACAUUCAAAGGCUUGACUUUCCUGUUGCUGUUAUGUGUGGAAAACAAAUGUCAAGACUGCACAUGAGUACUUUCCAUAAAUUAAUUUUAAAUGUGCAGACACAUUUCAUCUCAAAGUGCUUGUACACCCCUCUUGUCAGAAAGCAGAAUAAAUGAUGAUCAGAAUCACCACCUAGGGCUGGUUAUUUCGAUCUGUAGUUAUGAAAAUGCUCUACAAGGAAGGUCAGGAUCAUAGCCUCCAAUUUUGCAAAUGGGACACUGUUCCUCAGUAAAGCCACUUGUCUGGCAGUCAAAGAGCUUCCACCUCUCUGCUAAACCUGCAGAGGCAAGUGCAGAUGCACAUUUGAUUAUUUUCACUUCUGCCCUUGACUACCCCUUUUAAAAGGAGUCACUCACCCUUUCCUUUAUUGCUCAGGACGUGAGGUUGUCCAUCACCACCCAGCAGAGGCUGCUGUCCAUCCUGUGAACUGAAGGCCUUGUAAGCAUGCCUUGCUGCUUUCCUUCAGGUCACCUCUGCUUCUGCCUUCAGUGCCCCUCGCUGCAAAGGAUCUCUCUUGGGCUGGCCAGAGGCCACCUGCAGCAAAUGUCCUGGCAGAAGAGUCCUGAUUGUGUGCUUCAGUCUUCUGUAUCUUUCUUUCUGUUCUUGUCUUGUUCUCAGGGGCCUCUCAUUUUCCAAGGCUGUCAGACAAAGAUUUGUAGUCCUGAGUCCUCUCUGCUUCCUGUUGUCUGUUUUCAUCCUCACAGUCCCCCAGACUGUGCAGAGGUGCAGGAGGGCUAUAGGGUGCAUGUGUUGUUUCGUGCCAGAGAAGAUAUUGAUAAUGCAUUUUACAAGGUUCCCUGGGAGGAUGAGCUUGGUAGUGGCUUCAAGAAAUUAAAUUAAUUCAGAAGGGACUUGAUCAAAAUGUUUGAAGUAACGUGUAUCAGAAGAGAGUAUCAUUGGGAGCACCUUUUCUUCGUGUCUUUACAGAAACUAACAAAGGGCCAUUUGGAGAAAAAUUGGCAAAUGCACUACCUGGCUACUUCACACAGUGGUGAAUAAACCAUGAGGUGGGUUGCCACUGUAUGUUCUGGGGGCCACAGUUGGAAGUAAAAAAUCCCAGUAGCUUUAUGGAGUAAGCCAGCUUCCAAAUUCCUAGGAAUUGAAAUGUUUCUUGAGAUGCCUUGUACAACUUCUUCUCAAGGCCUCUCAAGGGGACACCAACAACCCUAAUUGUCCUUGCCCAGCAUUUCUUGGGGCUUCUUCCACUCUGCCCAGGUCCCAGGCCCUCAGAGCCCCAGAGCCAUCAGCCUCUGUCCCAGUGAUGCUGCAGCAGGGAUGCUCUCCAGCUCCCCACAGCUCUGUCCUGCCCAGCCGUGGCUCUGCUGCUCCACAGAGGUACCUGAUGCCAUGGGAUGGGGUUGUCCCUGGUGCCUCUCAGAUACUCUGCUUCUCUUCUGGGCUGUAGGGAUGUCCCUGUGGAGCCCUCAGCCUUCCUAGGGCCCUGGGACUUACUACGCAGUUUUGUAAGGCUGCAACCUGCUCUAUAUAAAGUCUAUACCAUCACAUGCCGUAGUCAGUAACAUUUCUGAAGUGGGUGAUUCUCUCCCAAUAUGCUGCUUUUAUCAAAAGCAAUGGAGUUAAUGCCUGCCAG